AGAGAAAUGGCUUUCGGUCUUUCCACUGGAGAUUCCCCUACAAGAGCAGUUCUGGAGAGUGCAACCAGCACAUCCGGUAAUUCUGCUGUUGUUCAAGCAGACCAGGCAACUUAUUCUCAUUGGUCACAAUUCUAAAACUAUUAUGGAAAGUCAUACCGCCAAAAGGUGGUCCUUCUAUUGAUGCAGGAUCACUGCAGGAGUUGAUUUCACAUCCAAAUGAAGAUCAAAGCACAUGUGAAACUCAGAAUUCAGGUAGUUCUACAAAGUUAAUGUAAAAUUAAUACAAACAAACAAACAACCCCCCAAUUAUUUUUUAUUGUCUUUCAGUUAACAACAGAUAUUUCAGAUAAGGUCUUCCAAUGUUUUACCCACAACUUGAUUUUAAAUUGUGAGAUCAUACUUAUAAAAUCUUUUGCAAUUUAUUUUCCCCUAUACAUAUAUCUUAUAUAUACUGAAGACCUCUGUUUUGCCUUUACAUCAAACAUAUACUUAUUGAUUUUUGUUUGGAUGAUUUUUUAAGAGUUUGUUCAAGAUGCACCA